rnacentral:rRNA from 1 species
GAUGAACGCUGGCGGCGUGCCUAAUACAUGCAAGUCGAGCGAAGCGGGGACGGGUGAGUAACACGUGGGUAACUCCCUAUAUGACUGGGAUAAAUUAGGGAAACCGGAGCUAAAACGGCUACUUAUCCAUGGAUCCGCGCUGCAUUAGCUAGUUGGUAAGGUAACGGCUUACCAAGGCCACGAUGCAUAGCCGAUCUGAGAGGGUGAUCGGCCACACUGGGACUGAGACACGGUCCAGACUCCUACGGGAGGCAGCAGUAGGGAAUCUUCCGCAAUGGGCGAAAGCCUGACGGAGCAACGCCGCGUGAGUGAUGAAGGUCUUCGGAUCGUAAACCUCUGUUAUUAGGGAAGCGGUACCUAAUCAGAAAGCCACGGCUAACUACGUGCCAGCAGCCGCGGUAAUAC